rnacentral:lncRNA from 1 species
AUGGCAGGAGGUGUCCUCCCACCAAAGGCUUUUAUUCUUGAAUACAUGGUCUUUGACCCACGGCGGGAUGAGCAGGAGCUGGCUGUGGUUGGAAAGCAGGGAUGGCAAAGCUCACUGGCAAGUCUGACGUGUCAGCACCUGCCUGCAGCUCCCAGCCUGUUGGUCCAUGGCUGUUUCCAGGAAGGAGGAACAUCCUGCUCGGGUGAAGUGGGAAGGUCUCGUUCGCAAUCCCAGGUCGCAGAUGCCGAGCUCACACCUCUGUGGUGUGAGGGGGGAACACUGGGGGAUCUGCUGCACAGGGGGAUCUUCUCCAGGGUCACUGGAUGUGGCUUUCCUCAUCUGGGGAGAAGAAAGAUUGCCUGAUCUCCCCUCAGGCUGCCUCCUCACCCCUGGGACCGAGCUGGAGGUGUGGUGCUGUCCCCCCCUCACCUGGGCAGGUCCGUGUCCCUGCAGUCUGUAAUUAAACAGCCACACGGUUUUUUCCACAUUUAGUGCCAAGGGUGGAUGUGAAGAGGUCGCUCAAGGUUGCACAGAAAACUUGAGUCUGGCUUUUCCACAGCUUCGAGUGACUUCUUCCCUACUGAGAGGAGCCUCGUUAGGAAGGUUGGAAUGUGUUUACAGACACUCACACAGAGGCUGAAUGUACUUGGAGAAAUGUGUGUGCAGUAACUCCAGCUUUACAAUAGGAUGUUGAUUUAAUUUCCCUCUCACACAAAUCUCAGAGCAGUUUGUCUAAUUAAGGCUUUCCAAAGCCCUGCAAGGUAGGGUGUUAUUAUGCAGGAGGAAGAGAAGCAGGGGGCAAACCCUGCUGAGAAUAGAACCCUCUUGUAUUCUAGGAAGCUGGGAGCGAGUGAGGGCAGGGAAGGACUUGCACAUUCAGGAGAAUCCCAUCCUUUCAAGUGUGUGCAGAACUAAAACCAGUGGAUGUUUCUAGCACCAGGCACACAGAGGUGUUUCUUUCCUACCUGUGAGGUUUGGUUCCCCUCAGCUGGGCCGUGGAGGCUGCACAAUUCCAGGUGCCUGCACAAUUCCAGGUGCCUGCACACAGCUCCCUUCCUCCUCCAGCGGCAGGACACGCUCUCCCUUUGGAUCAGGGCACGGCUCUGAGGCUGCACUUGGCUGGCUGCAGUGUGGAGGCUGUGACCUGGAUGCUUUCCUACUGGGUUUGGGUAUCAAAGCCUCCCUAAUGGGGCACCUGAAGGUGUAGACAGAGGGAGGGGCAGGAACAACCUCGGCGAUAAACUCCAUUGUGUGGGAGGGUGGAGCCUGUCCAUGGCCUCGGGAAGGAGUCAGGUGAUGGCAUGUUAUCUUUGAGGAGCUCAGAUACCAAUUUUCUCCCUAAUGAAAAUGAGAAAUGAGGAAC